rnacentral:lncRNA from 10 species
UAAGAAGAAGACAGAUGAGGCUUUUGCACUUGUACUCCAGCAUAGCAAACAGGUAUCCUAAACAUGUGCUUGUUACCUUAUGCAACAACAUGGCUGAUCUGACUCCACCAUUAAGUCCUAGUUCCGGGUAGGAAGAAAGCCAAGAGCAAAAGGUGUCACCUACGUGCUAGCAAAGUCUGUCCAAAAACCUGCUGGGAGGAGAUUUUACAGAAAACCCACAGAACAAGUUUGGUUUUCCCUUUCUUAAAUUUUGGUAAAAUAUAUAUAAUAUUUGCCAUUGUAAAUGUUUGUAAGCAUACAAUUCAGUGGCAUUAAUCACAUUCACAAGGUUAUGCAAUCAUCACCUCUAUUUCUAAAAUUGUUUCAUAUAUCUAACAAAAAUUCUGUAACUAUUAAGCAAUAACUCCUCAUUCCUGUCUCCUCUCAGCCCCUGAUAAACUCUAAUCUACUGUCUGUCUCUGUGCACUUGCCUGUUUACGUACCUCAUAUAAAUGGAAUCAUGCCAU